ensembl:lncRNA
CAAAACAAAUGUAGGUGAGGUCAGUGCAAAGGAGAGCUUCACGUUCAGCCUUCAUUGCCUGCAUUUAAAGACAAACAGCUGUCCUGAGUUUCAGCUGGAGGAGGAAGACACCAUCAAACAUGAAUGUUGUGGAUUUUCACAGGUUUGGUGUUUCCCUGCAACAAUCUGCUCGCACAGCCUUCCUCCCAUUGCGCACACCCGGCUCCGCGCGGCUCCGUGGUGGACCUGCAACUUUGCUGGCGAUGUUUGUUUUCAAAAGACAAAUAUUGUGCCAGCGUUCGCUUCAAUUAGGAGACUUAUUUGACAAUCUGACUACUCCAUCUGAUGCCUCAAGGGCAAAUUUCAGCACUUUAUGAAAGAUGCCGGCCAAAGACUGAUCUAUAUGAAUAAAAUAUUGAGGGGAGAAGUUGUAAUGAACAUUUGAAAACACAACUAUCAAGCAUUCAUUGCAAAUAUUUACACGCAAUAAAGGAUCUGUUUUAUCCCCAUGAAGGCUAUCACAUUUGGACAGAAAGCUGCUAUACUCCAUUCCAACUCACUCUGCGAUGCCUCCAUGUCAAGAGUGGGGCACAGUUGGUGACAAGGAACUUCAGUGCAUGGCUCCAUAGGGCCAAUCCUACAACCAGUGACUCAAUCAGGGGGUCUUCACGGCACCACAUCCUCAUGGGUUGCUUUGGGGCUCAGACAUUCUUUUCUACAUUAAUCACCAGAUCAGCUUAUUUAGUGAUGGUGAUGGCUGCCCCAUAAGGCUUCCUAGUGCUGCUGGAACCAGGGCUCUUCGCUCCCACAAUUCAUCCACAUGCAGGAGCAUAGCAUCACCCACCAUCUAGAUGCAUGCAGAUAAAACAGAGACAAAGGUGACUUUGUAGCACUACUCUGGGUGAAAUUCCAUUUUUUUUUUCCACUGUCUGGCUGUGUCUGAUGUGCCUCUGCUGAAAAGGUUUCUAUUUUGAUGAAGACACAAAGGCUUGAACGCUUUUCUGAACCAAUUUGGUGGCAACUGUGUGCUGGGAAUUAUUCUCACGAGGCUUCAAACCUGUGCAAAUGUUUUGAAGGAGACAUAACCUCGCUUUAAUUAUCAUCUCAACACUUUGUAGCAAAGAUGUGAUCUCCUAUAGCUCCUUUAGGGUCAUGCAGAUACUCUGGGCCCGAUCGUUGGAUGGUGGGAACUCGUGCGCUGGCUCUGAGGCCACCUCUAUUUGCAUCUGACUCCACUCACCCAUUCUCAUUUCACAGCCAAACACACAAGCAUUUUUUUUCUAUAGACUUUAAUUCAAAGGUCUGUCAAACUAAAGCAGCUGGGAAUGCUCUGUUGGAAUGACUUUCCGGUGGAAUAUCUGCCUUUUAUAAAAUUGGGAUUUCUUUUAUGGGAAAAUUUCAAUUUUGCCAGAAAUUUUUGAUUUUUCUAUUAGGAAAAUCAAACGGAUGGCUCCACGGCUGCUUGGCUGGAAGGCCCCUGUCGAUUUUGUUGUCGUCUGCAGGGAGAGAGCAAAAUUGACAAUAGUCUUCCAGGCAGGCAGCUGGGGAGAUGCAGCAGGUCUGGAAGAGGGAGGAGGGGAGGUUGAGUGCCCUGGCGCUCUGCCGGCCCUGCAGCCCAGCUGCCUCCCCAGCAGCCAGGCUAGGGGGAAGGCAAGGAGGAGGAGGAGGGAGCGGCAGGCGUGGGGUGUCCUGCCUGCAGCAGCCUGCCAACCGGGCUCCUGCCGCUCACCCCUUUCGGCAGGCAGCUGGCAAGCCCCAAGAAAUUCCAGUUUGCUUCCCUUAAAAGAGGCUAGGGGUUUUGUUUUAUUUUACGGAGAGUUCUUCUCAGAGGAAAAAGGAAAAAAAAAAAAGAGUAAAAAAAGAAAAAAUAAUAUUUUGUUUUUCCUCAAUUUAUAGGGGAAGGAGGGAGGGAUUUUGAAAAUGAGUAUUUUUUCACAGGAAGGAAUUUCUGUGAUUCAGCCAGCUCUACCUUAUGCCUACUAUACUAGAAAUAUACAUAUACAUGUAUAUAUUAUUUUUUUCCACAGUCCAUACAUUGUUAAAAGUACAGCACGGGAAAUCAAUGCACCUGUGUGGAGAAGGCCAGCAGAAGAGCACCACUGGCCACACUGCCCUGCCAAGCCCUUGUGCUGCCUUUACCAUCAACGUUCUAUAAAGAGUCCCGGCAUCUCUGUGCCUUUGCCCAUCACUGAGCAAUAACCAAAAAGGAAGCAUAACAGGAUAGAUAAGCUUUAGUCUGAUGCCAUUUGGAGUGUCUGCCAGAUAAAUCCUAGAAUUCAAGGAUUUUAUGGUGUUGGUCAUAGACCUUUAAGUACAACACAGUGAAUGUGCCUUGCUAUAACAUAGAUCAUAAACUGGCAGCUGAGCCCAUUUCAGGCUGUUUUGCAGGCUGCAAAGCCUCUUCCAUUGUGUGUUUGUAUGUAUUUCUCACCCUUCCUGAGGGUGUUCAAGUCAUCCCCUACUUAAUCCACCCUGUCUACCAGCAGUAGAGACUGUAGCUACAACGACAGGAGGAAAACAUAUAGUCACUUCCUGACUCUAUAAAAAGUGUUUAGCCCCAGUAAUGAGUUCUGGAAGGCUUCCUUUGAGAUUUCACAUACAGAAACACACACAAAAGCACUCCUGCUGUUGCAGGACUCAUUAUUCUUCAGAUCCUAUGCAGAUUUUUGUAAAAGAAAAAGACUAAGAGUUAUGAAAUCUUUGAAUCAUUACAUUCAUAAAAUCAGAUAGAAGAUAUAUUUCAACAAGAACCCUUACAGAAAAAAAAAAUAAAGAAAGAAAUUAAAUUGUAUUUGUCUGCAUUCCAAUAAUCCAUCCAUGAUUAUGUUAUAGAUGUGACACCAGUAUUGAUGGAACACCAAAAUGUAGAGGUAUCGGUGAAGAACAACAUCGGCAGAGUAAAAGAGUAAAUAUGACUUCUUUAAUAGUAGUCUCUCUUAUUAUUUUAUAGUGUGGGCUUUUCGGAUAAUUUAUUAAUACUAACAAAGAUGAGUGAUUUGGAGGCUGGAUAUUUUUUAUUUCUUAGGAGUUAUUUUAUUUGAUAAUGUCAUUAAAUAUUAGAAACUAUAACAGCUGGUGUGUUUAUCCUUACUUGAGUGUAUUAACCUCUUUAGCCCUUUUUUCCAGAAGAAGGAUUCAGCAUUACAGAUUUGACUGUCAGCUGCAGUGCCUGGCGGCCCGUUGGAUUGGCAUCCUGACAGAAUCGAAAGUCCAGUGCUGCAAGUAAACAUGGAUGACAUUGCAGAUAGAUAGAACUGGCUGACUUGAGGCACCUGCAGCUGUUUGCACCAGAAUAAAAGCAAAGGUUGUGGUUGCCGGAGUGGAAAAACACUGAAUUUACCUCUAGUUAUUUUGCUUGGGAAUUUUGCAGCCCCCCCCCUCCCUCCUCACCUUUUUUUCCUGGUUAUACAUUUUGGAACCUUUCCACUAAAAGCACAUUAGGCUGAAAUACCUCAGUGAAAAAAUCCACCAGACACCAGAGGGCUUUGCAGCCCACAUUGCCCCCUUUUCUCCUUUACAUUCAUUCAGCAGUUUCCCCACUACUCCCUGGUAACAACCAGCCCUCCACCGGUGCGAACACUGAGUUGCAGCAAAGGAUGCAAACCCUAAAUAGCCGCAAACAAUUCUUAGCAGCUGAUUUUUUCAAUCUUGAAUAGCCAGAUACACUUCUCAGCAGCUGAUUUUUUUUUAACUUGGCAUUCACAGACUGCUACAAGUGAC